UUGCUUCUUCGGAAACCUACUUUCAGAAACCCCUCGAAAGCUCUGUUUUACAAGUUAACAUAAUGGGCAUGUGGCAAUGCCUCUCCGUCCACCAGGGGGCAGAAAGGAACCCUUUGAUUGGCCAGAGAUCUUUGGACUUCGACUUUGAUUUUGAACAGUUGUCAUUUGCAUAACCUUUUCCCUGUUAGAGAUCACUCACUACAGACAGAUCCAUAUAGACUUCUCGAAGAACGCCCCUGAUUCUGUGUUACACUCUAACCUUCACUUUACCUGUAAACUUACUUUACACUAAGUAAAUGUUGCACUGAGGUGCUGGGUGUUACAUUUGACGAUCUUCAUACCUCGGCGGAUUUGUUUUUUGAGGUACGGGAGGCGCUCUCCUUAGUGUCUGUGAGACUCGUUGGCGUGUAACCGUCCCACCCUUACAAGAACACAGAAACAG
rnacentral:lncRNA from 1 species